UACAGAGGGUGCGAGCGUUAAUCGGAAUUACUGGGCGUAAAGCGUGCGUAGACGGUUAUUUAAGUCGGGUGUGAAAGCCCCGGGCUCAACCUGGGAAUUGCAUUCGAGACUGAAUAGCUAGGGUACGGUAGAGGGAAGUGGAAUUUCCGGUGUAGCGGUGAAAUGCGUAGAUAUCGGAAGGAACAUCAGUGGCGAAAGCGACUUCCUGGACCAAUACUGACGCUCAUGUGCGAAAGCGUGGGGAGCAAACGGG
rnacentral:rRNA from 1 species